UAGCCAAUGAGUUGAAGAGCUGGUUUGACAGCAGGCAGUACUGCAGGGAUCAUGGUGCUGAUCUGGUCAUUAUCAACACUGAAGAGAAGCAGAGGUUCAUAUCUUUAUAUAUGAAAGAUGUUAACAGAGUGUGGAUUGGUCUAUCUGACAGAGAGCAGGAGGGCAACAUGAAAUGGGUGAAUAAUUCACCACUGAAACAAGGGUUUUGGAUGGAAGGUGAGCCGAAUAACUAUGAAGGUGUAGAUGAGGACUGUGUUGAAAUGAUACUUUCGAAAGACACACUGAAAAACUGGAAUGAUCUGCCAUGCUCAAUUCAAAGAAAAGGAAUUUGUGAGAAAUAGUGACUUAUGUUUUUGCUUGUGUUAUUUUAUGGCAUCAACCUUAUUGUGGUUGUAUAAUUCAUUUUUAAGUUUCCUGUCUUUUAAAACAUGUAAAACAUAAUGUGUUGUGAAACACAUCUGAUGUGGUCAUGUUAUGCUAAAUCACAAGCAGCUCUAUAUAAAUAUGAUCAUAUUCUAGUUGUUAUCAUGUCUCAUUUGUUGAUCUGUGAUAAGGAGACUAUGACA